AUUGAACGCUGGCGGCAUGCCUUACACAUGCAAGUCGAACGGCAGCACGGGUGCUUGCACCUGGUGGCGAGUGGCGAACGGGUGAGUAAUACAUCGGAACGUACCUUAUCGUGGGGGAUAACGCAGCGAAAGCUGUGCUAAUACCGCAUACGCCCUGAGGGGGAAAGCGGGGGAUCGCAAGACCUCGCGCGAUUAGAGCGGCCGAUGCCUGAUUAGCUUGUUGGUGGGGUAAAAGCCCACCAAGGCGACGAUCAGUAGCUGGUCUGAGAGGACGAUCAGCCACACGGGGACUGAGACGAGGCCCAGACUCUUACGGGAGGCAGCAGUGGGGAAUUUUGGACAAUGGGGGCAACCCUGAUCCAGCAAUGCCGCGUGAGUGAAGAAGGCCUUCGGGUUGUAAAGCUCUUUUGUCAGGGAAGAAACACCGGCUCUAACACAGUCCGGGAAUGACGGUACCUGAAGAAUAAGCACCGGCUAACUACGUGCCAGCAGCCGCCGUAA
rnacentral:rRNA from 1 species